rnacentral:rRNA from 1 species
GUUUGAUUAAUAGGGAUAGUCGGGGGCAUCAGUAUUCAAUUGUCAGAGGUGAAAUUCUUGGAUUUAUUGAAGACUAACUACUGCGAAAGCAUUUGCCAAGGAUGUUUUCAUUAAUCAGUGAACGAAAGUUAGGGGAUCGAAGACGAUCAGAUACCGUCGUAGUCUUAACCAUUAACUAUGCCGACAAGGGAUCGGGCGGUGUUCAACUUAUGACCCGCUCGGCACCUUACGAGAAAUCAAAGUUUUUGGGUUCUGGGGGGAGUAUGGUCGCAAGGCUGAAACUUAAAGGAAUUGACGGAAGGGCACCACCAGAUGUGGAGCCUGCGGCUUAAUUUGACUCAACACGGGGAAACUCACCAGGUCCAGACACAUUAAGGAUUGACAGAUUGAGAGCUCUUUCUUGAUUAUGUGGGUGGUGGUGCAUGGCCGUUCUUAGUUGGUGGAGUGAUUUGUCUGCUUAAUUGCGAUAACGAACGAGACCUUAACCUGCUAAAUAGCCAGGCUAGCUUUUGCUGGUCGCCGGCUUCUUAGAGGGACUAUCGGCUCAAGCCGAUGGAAGUUUGAGGCAAUAACAGGUCUGUGAUGCCCUUAGAUGUUCUGGGCCGCACGCGCGCUACACUGACAGAGCCAACGAGUAUAAACCUUAACCGAGAGGUUUGGGUAAUCUUGUUAAACUCUGU